AUUAUUGGCUCGGCCUUACAAUACAACAAACAAGUUUGACCUCAAAUCAGGUAGGACUACCCGCUGAACUUAAGCAUAUCAAUAAGCGGAGGAAAAGAAACCAACAGGGAUUGCCUCAGUAACGGCGAGUGAAGCGGCAAAAGCUCAAAUUUGAAAUCUGGCACCUUCGGUGUCCGAGUUGUAAUUUGAAGAAGGUAACUUUGGAGUUGGCUCUUGUCUAUGUUCCUUGGAACAGGACGUCACAGAGGGUGAGAAUCCCGUGCGAUGAGAUGCCCAAUUCUAUGUAAAGUGCUUUCGAAGAGUCGAGUUGUUUGGGAAUGCAGCUCUAAGUGGGUGGUAAAUUCCAUCUAAAGCUAAAUAUUGGCGAGAGACCGAUAGCGAACAAGUACAGUGAUGGAAAGAUGAAAAGAACUUUGAAAAGAGAGUGAAAAAGUACGUGAAAUUGUUGAAAGGGAAGGGCUUGAGAUCAGACUUGGUAUUUUGCAAGCCUUACCUUCGUGGUGGGGUCCCCUGCAGUUUACUGGGCCAGCAUCGGUUUGGAUGGUAGGAUAAUGACUUGGGAAUGUGACUUUGCUUCGGUAAAGUGUUAUAGCCCUUGUUGAUACUGCCUGUCUAGACCGAGGACUGCG
rnacentral:rRNA from 1 species